rnacentral:rRNA from 1 species
UACGGAGGGUGCAAGCGUUAAUCGGAAUUACUGGGCGUAAAGAGUUCGUAGGUUGUUCAAAAAGUCAGUUGUGAAAUCCCUGAGCUCAACUCAGGAACUGCAACUGAUACUCUUGGACUAGAGUUUAGCAGAGGAUUAGGAAAUUUCCAGUGUAGCGGUGAAAUGCGUAGAUAUUGGAAGGAAUAUCAAUGGCGAAGGCAAUAAUCUGGGUUAAAACUGACACUGAGGAACGAAAGCGUGGGGAGCAAACAGG